rnacentral:rRNA from 1 species
UACGGGGGGAGCAAGCGUUGUUCGGAUUUACUGGGCGUAAAGGGCGCGUAGGCGGCGUGGUAAGUCACUUGUGAAAUCUCCGGGCUUAACUCGGAACGGUCAAGUGAUACUGCUGCGCUAGAGUGCGGAAGGGGCAACUGGAAUUCUCGGUGUAGCGGUGAAAUGCGUAGAUAUCGAGAGGAACACCUGCGGCGAAGGCGGGUCUCUGGGCCGACACUGACGCUGAGGCGCGAAAGCUAGGGGAGCGAACGGG